rnacentral:rRNA from 2 species
GACGAACCGUGCGAACGUUGUUCGGAUUCACUGGGCUUAAAGGGCGCGUAGGCGGGCCGGCAAGUCCGGGGUGAAAUCCCACGGCUCAACCGUGGAAUAGCCUUGGAUACUGCCGGUCUCGAGGGAGGUAGGGGCGUGUGGAACUUCCGGUGGAGCGGUGAAAUGCGUAGAUAUCGGAAGGAACGCCGGUGGCGAAAGCGACGCGCUGGACCUCUUCUGACGCUGAGGCGCGAAAGCCAGGGGAGCAAACGGG